rnacentral:rRNA from 1 species
UACAGAGGGUGCAAGCGUUAAUCGGAGUUACUGGGCGUAAAGGGCGCGUAGGCUGGUAUUUAAGUCGAUUGUGAAAUCCCUGGGCUUAACCUAGGAAUUGCAGUCGAUACUGAAUGUCUUGAGUAUGGUAGAGGAAAGUAGAAUUCUCGGUGUAGUGGUUAAAUACGUAGAUAUCGAGAAGAACACCGGUGGCGAAGGCGACUUUCUGGACCAAUACUGACGCUGAGGCGCGAAAGCGUGGGGAGCAAACAGGAUUAGAUACCCUGGUAGUCCACGCUGUAAACGAUGAGAACUAGAUGUUGCCCAGUUUAUACUGGGCAGUAUCGCAGCUAACGCAUUAAGUUCUCCGCCUGGGGAGUACGAUCGCAAGAUUAAA